rnacentral:lncRNA from 1 species
CCAUUUUUCAUGAAAUUUGUACCAAAAUGAAGCUAGGGACAUCUACAAUCACGUUAUAACAGUUUUAAGACCUAAAAACUGCUACAUUUUCCUAGGGAAAGCUCGAUAGAUCGGCUUACCUAGGAUAGCUUCGAUCCGACGUCCAAAUCCUUUCAACGAAGUACCCCUAGACUCGUGAGGACCUCCUUAAGCUUCCUAUUUCCUUAGAAUUCCCUGAAACACAAGGUUUUACGUGUGCAUGAACAGUGCACAAAAUCGGGGUUAAGGUUUUGUCGGGUUUUAGAAGCAUUCUCGUCCAAACAAGGGUAUCAAUGUACUCAGGAGGUUACAAUGAGCAAGAACCUUACCUUUAAAGCUUCAAUCCACGAAGUUUCAAGGGCUUUGGAUGUUUGUCCGUACGAGUUUGAAGGAGGGAGAGAAUGAGAGUCUGAGAGAGAUGAGAGGGUACGGGAGAGAGAAGAGAGAGAGUGUGUGUGUGUGGCCUAGGAUUGGUCAACCACCAAAAAAUACCAUAACUUAAUCCUAAUUGGUUCCAAACAAUUAGGAUUUAAGAAUAUUAACCCAAAGCUAUACUUAAACCACAUUAUACAACUAACGUCCAAGGGUAUUUUCAUCAAUUCACGCCGUCGAUAAACAUAUAUUUGGGACGGGCUGUGACAGAUAGUGUUUUGCUGCCCAUAAUUUUUUUUUAAUUUAAAAUAUCAUGGGAUUGUGGUUUUAAGAUUUUAACAAAAAUUUAUAUGAAUUUUGGUGAAUUUUGAUGCUCAAUGGACUUCGUUAACAGCUUCUAACUUUGUUAUGCUUUGGAAUAUUAGUGGGUUUUCAUCAAAUUUUGCUUAUAUCUUUAUUCAGUGUUUUUGUUGUAUUAUCUGGUCAAAGAUACCUUCGUUCAGUAAUUUGAGAAGCAUGGGCAUAUAAUAGACUAAUCAAAGAGAUGGAUGUGAUCAACGAUAAAGAGGUAAGCAUCAUCCCCUUCCUUCUUUUGUUAUGAUUGGUUGUAUGGAGAAUUAAGAAAAAAGUUGAAGACAAUUCUGUGCUUUUGCGUUAUAGCAAUUAGUAAAUAUAAAAUGAUAUUGAUUAGUUCGUUGAUGUGUUGGAUCCUUCGUUAGUUUUAUCUGUGGUGUGUGCUUAAGGAUGAAAGCAAUGGACAUUAUAUGGAAUUGAUGUUCCUUUUAAUGUCAGUAAAGAAAGGAAUUGUUCCUUUAUUAGCAAUUAUAUGAAGUAGGCAUAUUAUGCAAUACAAAGUCUACAAUCGACUAUUUUACUUUUUGUAUAUAAGUAUAACUUUUGAUCGUAAGCCACAUAUGUCACAUCCCGAUCCCGACAUACGUCCAGUAUCAACACGUGACGUCACCAAAUACCCGUAUCUCUAACAUACCUCUCCUCCGGGAUAUGGGCAAAACACAACUAGAGAUCCAAUUGCGUAAUAAUUUUUUCGUAUAUUUUAUGGCUGCAUCUAAACUCCUCAUUAGACUGCCUACGUACCCUCAAUAGGGAUCAAGCCAUUCGUAGUUCGUCAUUUCACUACACUCAAACAUCCAUCACAUAAAUCGCUAUGUCUCAACAAUAUAUCACAAUGCAUACCAUGCAAUUUGUCAAAGAACCAAUGACGAAGCACAAUAUUCUUCUCAAGCCACAUUGAUCAACUAAAAUAAUCAUAACAAUAACAUCCAUUUCCAAAGUCAUUCCGCAAUUCCGUCAAUUAAUCAAUUCAUGAAUCAAAAUUGCAUGAUCUUAACAUUUAUUUACGUUAAUCAAUCAAUGCGAUAAAAUAUCAUUUUACGAACUUAACCAAGGAACUUUAUAUAAUUUCCUACUUGGAUUAUGAGCAAUAACAUGGUAAAUAAAUUCACAAGGCUAAAUGUGGGUAAUUCACAUUCACUUGAAUCUAGGAUUCUAAGAUAACCUCAUGGAAAUGAGCAAGAGCAAGGAUUCCAUACCACUUUUCUCAUAAUCUACCCAGACCUGUCACAUGUAAAAUCAAUGCCUACAUUAUGGGAAUGGUACACUGGGCAAAUCAGGCACUCAGAUAAGCUGCGAAGCUUAGGUGAGUGACAAUG